ensembl:lncRNA
GAAACACUUUUACACUGUUGGUGGUACUGUAAACUAGUUCAACCAUUGUGGAAGACAGUGUGGCAAUUCCUCAAGGAUCUAGAACUAGAAAUUUGACCCAGCCAUCCCAUUACUGGGGAUAUACCCAAAGGAUUAUAAAUCAUCCUGCUAUAAAGACACACGCACACGUAUGUUUAUUGUGGCACCAUUCACAAUAGCAAAGACGUGGAACCAACCCAAAUGUCCAUCAAUGACAGACGGGAUUAAGAAAAUGUGGCACAUAUACACCAUGGAAUACUACGCAGCCAUAAAAAAGGAUGAGUUCGUGUCCUUUGCAGGGACAUGGAUGCAGUUGGAAACCAUCAUUCUCAGCAAACUAUCACAAAACAGAAAAUCAAACACUGCAUGUUCUCACUCACAGGUGGGAAUUGAACAAUGAGAACACUUGGACACAGGAAGGGGAAUGUCACACACUGGGACCUGUUGUGGGGUGGGGGGAGGCGGGAGGAAUAGCAUUAGGAGACAUACCUAAUGUAAAUGAGGAGUUAAUGGGUGCAGCAUACCAACAUGGCACAUGUAUACAUAUGUAACAAACCUGCAUGUUGUGUACAUGUACCUUAGAACUUAAAGUAUAAUAAAAAGAAAAAAAAAUGCAAUGAAUGGUUAUAAGAAAAUCUCUGAAUAAUCAAAGAAUUUCUAAAUUAUUGUACCUCUCUGGCCUUGAUUUUGAUUGCUUUAUCUAUAAAAUGAAAGAGGUGUUUUUUUUUGCUUUUUGUUUUUUUGUUUUUUGAGAAACACUAUGUUGCCCAGGCUAGAGUGGAGUACGGUGGCGUGAUCUCGGCUCACUGCAACCUCAGCUGAAAGAGUUUCAUACAUUAUCACUAAAGUCCUUUCCAGUCCCCAAAUAUUCCGUGGACAGUUCAUGGCAAGGUUGAUACCAACAGGUACCUUUUGUAAGGCCAUAAAGACUGGUUGACUUGUGAAUCCGUAACUGAGGAAAUAGAGCAAACUGGCCUGCAUAAAAUCUUGGGUUGCUUCCCAAGAGUCCAUAUGGACAAUCAGGGGAAAUGGAAGACUGAUGGACACCAAACCUAAGCCCAGGCCUGUUGGACAUGUCCCAUCACCUCCAUCAAUUUGGUUUCACUUUGCCUUCAUUUUAAUGCCUGACUGAAAUUCCUAUUCCCCUCCCCUUUUUCCCCAAUUUUUUUUGAAUCAGGCUUAACUUUCUAAAGCUUAAAAAUUAUAAAGCAAAAAACAGUAUGAAAAAGGGGGGAGGGAAGGAGCUGUACUCACAUAACUGUAGAAUUGAAAGGAACAUUGUGAUGUUAAAGCCUCAAAAAGAGGCUGAACUACUGACUCCUCAGAGGGUCGACUGGUUUGAGCCACAUACAUUAGCACUUGCCUCCUCAGACUGAUCUGUUUGUUGGUUGCUAUGUGGAUGGUGAUAAAAUAUCCAUUUGGAUGGAGUCAAAAAUUAUAUUACACUCUUACAGCACAUCUGCAAAUCCUGGCCUUUUGAACAAAUGACCGCAGUAUACCAGGCCUCUGUGCUGUCAGAAGCUGAUUCCCAAAUACCAACUUUGAACCUCGCCCUACCAUAUGGACUCAUGGGGUCAAUGAAAAAUGGUGUCUGAGGGGCCCCAAAACAUGAGAAGUUCUGGCAAAAAGUGACAGGUUUUAUCCAGGCUGCUGAAGAGAAAUGUACUGAGACUAGAAAAGCUAAGGAGGUGCACGCCUUCAGAACGUGUCUGUAGAUCAAAAUACACCCUAACAGAUUCUUGAGAGAGCCCCUGGCGGCUGUGUUAACCUUGGCAUUGUUAUCAUUAAGAGGCUAUGCUCAUUUCUGGCACCUAACACUGGACAUAUUGACAGCAAUGGGGUUGAUGGAAGAGGAAAGAAUCUGUUUUGCAGUUAAAAAAAAAAAAAAAAA